GACAGAGGCGCCGAGCGUUAGGCGGAAUCACUGGGCUUAAAGCGUGUGUAGGCGGGCCGUUAAGUAUCUUGUGAAAUCCCCCGGCUCAACCGGGGAAUGGCUGGAUAUACUGGCGGUCUUGAGCGAUCUAGGGGCAGAUGGAACAAGUGGUGGAGCGGUGAAAUGCGUAGAUAUCACUUGGAACGCCAAAGGUGAAAACAGUCUGCUGGGGAUCUGCUGACGCUGAGACACGAAAGCCAGGGGAGCGAACGGG
rnacentral:rRNA from 1 species